rnacentral:lncRNA from 1 species
CCUGGUUGUUGCUAGCCUUGAAGGCGAAACGCAGAGACUGCUUGAUCAGCACUCCGUUUGGGCCUUCUAGGAUUACUCCAGCACCACUCCCUUGCUGAUUGGAAGAACCAUCCACUGAUAGGACCCAGGGAAAGUCCAAACCCUCCGAAGGUGUCACGCCUGAUGACAACUCGACGACGAAGUCCGCAAACACCUGCCCCUUGAUCGGUC